AAGUCUGGUGCCAGCAGCCGCGGUAAUUCCAGCUCCAAUAGCGUAUAUUAAAGUUGUUGCAGUUAAAAAGCUCGUAGUUGAAUUUCGGGGUUAGUAGGUUGGUCAUGCCUCUGGUAUGUACUGGUCUCACUGAUUCCUCCUUCCUUAUGAACCGUAAUGCCAUUAAUUUGGUGUUGCGGGAAAUUUGGACUGUUACUUUGAAAAAAUUAGAGUGUUUAAAGCAAGCUAACGCUUGAAUACAUUAGCAUGGAAUAAUGAAAUAGGACGUUCGAUCUUAUUUUGUUGGUUUCUAGGAUUGACGUAAUGAUUAAUAGGGAUAGUUGGGGGCAUUAGUAUUCAAUUGUCAGAGGUGAAAUUCUUGGAUUUAUUGAAGACUAACUACUGCGAAAGCAUUUGCCAAGGAUGUUUUCAUUAAUCAAGAACGAAAGUUAGGGGAUCGAAGACGAUCAGAUACCGUCGUAGUCUUAACCAUAAACUAUGCCGACUAGGGAUCGGAUGAUGUUAAUUUUUUAAUGACUCAUUCGGCGCCUUACGGGAAACCAAAGUGUUUGGGU
rnacentral:rRNA from 1 species